rnacentral:misc_RNA from 1 species
UGGCAAGUUGGGAGUAGGUGACAAGACUAUGACCAUCGCCACUCAGGUCAAUGAACAUGAAUGUGUGGCGUGUGUACCAUAUGAUGAAUACACCUACUGUUGCCAAUCCAACAUAAAAUCCAAUCACCAGGUAGCGAAAUAAAAUCCAAGGUGUUAUCAAUGAGUCAUCACUUUUUCUGGGAGGUUUCUUCAUUAUAUCUGUGUCUGGGGGAUU